GCAAGUCGAGCGGUAGAGUUUCUAGCUUGCUAGAGACUUGAGAGCGGCGAACGGGUGAGUAACGUGUUGGUAUCUGCCCCCCAGUCAGGGAUAGCCCAGGGAAACCUGGCUUAAUACCGGAUAGCUGGCAACAGUAAAGAUUUAUUGCUGGGGGAGGAGCCUACAUUCUAUCAGCUUGUUGGUGAGGUAAUAGCUCACCAAGGCUAUGACGGAUAGCUGGUCUGAGAGGAUGACC
rnacentral:rRNA from 1 species